GCGAGAAGUCCAUUGAACCUUAUCAUUUAGAGGAAGGAGAAGUCGUAACAAGGUUUCCGUAGGUGAACCUGCGGAAGGAUCAUUGUCGAGACCGAAACAUAUCGAGCGAUUUGGAGAACAUGUGAAUAAGCGAUGGCACUAGCCAUUGCAUGACGGGCGUCCUGGUCGUCGGCCUCAUUGAGGUCGCGAAGAGGGGCGACUGAAACACAAAACGGCGCAGCUACGCGCCAAGGGAUACAUUGAAACACGAGCCCGCAUCGGGUUCGAUGGCGUGGCGUGCUAUUGCGCGCCACACAGAUCAAAAUGACUCUCGGCAAUGGAUAUCUCGGCUCUCGCAUCGAUGAAGAGCGCAGCGAAAUGCGAUACGUGGUGCGAAUUGCAGAAUCCCGCGAACCAUCGAGAAUUUGAACGCAAGUUGCGCCCGAGGCCAGCCGGCCAAGGGCACGUCCGCCUGGGCGUCAAGCGUUGCGUCGCUCCGUGCCAGCUCCAUCCCACCCAACGGUGUGCAUGGGGGAUGGUCGGAUGUGCAGAGUGGCCCGCCGUGCCCGUGGGCGCGACGGGUUUAAGAGUGGGUGAUCGUCUCGUUGGCCACGACCAGCAAGAGGUGGAUGAAAAAUGUGCCUGUGCUGUAUCGUGCCGACCAGAGUAGAGAUUAUACCAUCGGAUGAUCCCAACCCAAGCGUCAAUCUACGGAUGAAAGCUUGGAAUGCGACCCCAGGAUGGGCGAGGCCACCCGCUGAGUUUAAGCAUAUCAAUAAGC
rnacentral:rRNA from 1 species